GAUAGGUGGACGUCACUUUUACAGUGCGCUAAAAUUGUGGAAAUAUCUGCUCGGUACAAUAGUUAGCUAUGUCAUUUUCCUGGUGUAAGAAGCAGAAUUAACCCCKUUAAGGCAGCGUUUAUGAUGAUUUAUUAUUUCCCGCAGUCAGCAAACUAAUUCCUAAAAGGUCGAUAAUAUAUCUGUGGAAGUGAUGGAUCGAUACAAUGAUGUCAAGAUUCUUCUGAAAACCUGGGAGCAGUCAUUUGUUCAAGAACAUCAAAGAAAGCCCAACAAGCCAGACAGCCAUACCCUGUAGCUGGAGCUGCCGACAGCCAUACCCUGCAGCUAGUGCUGCAGACAGCCAUACCCUGCAGCUGGUGCUGCAGACAGCCAUACCCUGCAGCUGGUGCUGCAGACAGCCAUACCCUGCAACUGGUGCUGCAGACAGCCAUACCCUGCAACUGGUGCUGCAGAACAGCCAUACCCUGCAGCUGGUGCUGCAGACAGCCAUACCCUGCAGCUGGUGCUGCAGACAGCCAUACCCUGCAGCUGGUGCUGCAGACAGCCAUACCCUGCAGUGGUUGCUGCAGACAGCCAUACCCUGCAGCUGGAGCUGCAGACAGCCAUACCCUGUUAUCCCCUCUGCCAAAGCCAGCCUACACAUGUCAAGACCCCCUGGCCUCCAAUGCAGACAGGGACAGAACACCCAGACCAGCUACCGGAGGAGCCCUUUGAGCCCUUAACAGCCUUCACGCCCUCCAAGCUAUGGUCUCCUGCAGCGGGGGCAUCCUCAUCAUACAGACAGGCAGGCAGCAGGGCCCAGCAGCUCAGACAGACCUUCACCAAGAGGCUGACCUCUGUAGACAGCAGCUGGCUGGAGAGAUGUCAGGUGUUUGAUGAGGUGGAUGACGCAGAGAAGCCGGUUGUGGAUAAUUUGUUUCUUGCAGCCAAAAGGGGAGGUGCUGGCAAGGGAGAGAUCGCAGGACGUUCCGCCAGUUCCUUUGUCACACCUUCCAGGCAGAACGAAGGAACCACUCUCCUGGGGGAGAGGGCUUCCAAGAGUACCAUGCCACAGGAUCUGCCUUCUCCUGACGAGCACCAGCCCCAGAUUGGUGGUGGCGUAACGUCUGCAGCAGACCCAGCCAGUCUGUGGCCCGCUGGACAACGCUCCUCAUUAGGGUCUGGCUCUGGAGGAGGAGAGGAUGGAGAAACCAGAUCAGGUCUCAAAGGACAGGCAGAGGGCGGUAUGAUAGAAGAGACCGCCGUCGGCGCCACCACUGCCAAGAAAUCUCGAGUGAGGGCCAGAAAGGGCCGGGGAGGAGGGGAUGUGGAGGAGGCAAGAGUGUUAACGCAGCCACCGCAGGCCGAAGGUGAUGAGCUCGGACUGGAGAAGAAGGGUACAAAGAAAAGAGGUGGAAAAAGACAAAGGAAUCCUGACACAGAUGGAGAGAACCUUGCAGGCACGGAGAAAGAGGAGUGGGUGGUGAAAAAGAGGAGAAGGACAGAUAAUGCCCCCCAAGCGAGGAAGAAGGCUAAGACAGGUGAUGGAGACGUCAGCAACCAGGAGGAUGGUGAUGUCACAGAGAAGGAAGUGGUGAAGCAGAAACCAAGGGUUCCACAGGAGAACCUCCUAGGAGAGGUGGAUGAAGGAAGACAUCAAAGCUGCCAGGAACAGAGGGAGCAACACUAUGAGACCUAAAGCCACCAAGAACUCGGACGUUGACCAUGGAUAAGUUCCAGCUAAAGGGGGAGAGGUUUGGAGGGCCAGACUCAAGGUUUAGAGGGGGCUUCAGCAGAAGAUGCAGAGGAGGGUUUAGAGGCAGCUUCGGAGGGUUCAAACGUCCAGGUGACAGCUGCUUCAAGUGUGGAGGCACAGGACACUGGGCUAUGAACUGCAAGGGCAGAGUUGCAGCUCCAGUAGACAGUGCUGCUGCUGAUGAGGCGUCUGCGGUUGAGGAGGG